rnacentral:rRNA from 1 species
CCCAGUUCGGAUUGCAGGCUGCAACCCGCCUGCAUGAAGUUGGAAUCGCUAGUAAUCGCGGAUCAGCAUGCCGCGGUGAAUACGUUCCCGGGCCUUGUACACACCGCCCGUCACACCAUGAGAGUCGGGGACACCCGAAGUCCGUAGUCUAACCGCAAGGGGACGCGGCCGAAGGUGGAUUCGAUAAUUGGGGUGAAGUCGUAACAAGGUAAC